GGCGCGAUAGCAAAGCGGUUAUGCCCCGGAUUGCAAAUCCGGUUAGACCAGUUCGACUCUGGUUCGCGCCU
rfam:Comamonas testosteroni CNB-2, complete genome.